AGUGAACGCUGGCGGUAGGCCUAACACAUGCAAGUCGAACGGCAGCACAGUAAGAGCUUGCUCUUACGGGUGGCGAGUGGCGGACGGGUGAGGAAUACAUCGGAAUCUACUUUUUCGUGGGGGAUAACGUAGGGAAACUUACGCUAAUACCGCAUACGACCUACGGGUGAAAGCAGGGGAUCUUCGGACCUUGCGCGAUUGAAUGAGCCGAUGUCGGAUUAGCUAGUUGGCGGGGUAAAGGCCCACCAAGGCGACGAUCCGUAGCUGAUCUGAGAGGAUGAUCAGCCACACUGGAACUGAGACACGGUCCAGACUCCUACGGGAGGCAGCAGUGGGGAAUAUUGGACAAUGGGCGAAAGCCUGAUGCAGCAAUACCGCGUGGGUGAAGAAGGCCUUCGGGUUGUAAAGCCCUGUUGUUGGGAAAGAAAAGCAGCAGGUUAAUACCCCGCUGUUCUGACGGUACCCAAAGAAUAAGCACCGGCUAACUUCGUG
rnacentral:rRNA from 1 species